rnacentral:tRNA from 1 species
GCCGAUGUAGCUCAACGGUAGAGCAGCGGAUUUGUAAUCCGUUGGUUGGAGGUUCAAGUCCUCUCAUCGGCUCCA